CCUACGGGAGGCAGCAGUGGGGAAUUUUGGACAAUGGGGGCAACCCUGAUCCAGCAAUGCCGCGUGUGUGAAGAAGGCCUUCGGGUUGUAAAGCACUUUUGUCCGGAAAGAAAACCAUCGCCCUAAUAUGGUGGUGGGAUGACGGUACCGGAAGAAUAAGCACCGGCUAACUACGUGCCAGCAGCCGCGGUAAUACGUAGGGUGCGAGCGUUAAUCGGAAUUACUGGGCGUAAAGCGUGCGCAGGCGGUCUGUUAAGACCGAUGUGAAAUCCCCGGGCUUAACCUGGGAACUGCAUUGGUGACUGGCAGGCUUUGAGUGUGGCAGAGGGAGGUAGAAUUCCACGUGUAGCAGUGAAAUGCGUAGAGAUGUGGAGGAAUACCGAUGGCGAAGGCAGCCUCCUGGGCCAACACUGACGCUCAUGCACGAAAGCGUGGGGAGCAAACAGGAUUAGAUACCCUGGUAGUCCACGCCCUAAACGAUGUCAACUAGUUGUUGGGGAUUCAUUUCCUUAGUAACGUAGCUAACGCGUGAAGUUGACCGCCUGGGGAGUACGGUCGCAAGAUUAAAACUCAAAGGAAUUGACGG
rnacentral:rRNA from 1 species